rnacentral:rRNA from 1 species
UACGAAGGGGGCGAGCGUUGUUCGGAUUUACUGGGCGUAAAGGGCGCGUAGGCGGCGGACCAAGUCGAGUGUGAAAGCCCCGGGCUCAACCUGGGAGGUGCGCUCGAGACUGGUCUGCUUGAGUUCGGGAGAGGAGCGUGGAAUUCCCAGUGUAGAGGUGAAACUCGUAGAUAUUGGGAAGAACACCGGUGGCGAAGGCGGCGCUCUGGACCGAGACUGACGCUGAGGCGCGAAAGCGUGGGGAGCAAACAGG